rnacentral:rRNA from 1 species
CCUUAGUACGGCGAGUGAAGCGGCAAAAGCUCAAAUUUGAAAUCGGCCCCCAGGUCGAGUUGUAAUUUGUAGAUUGUAUCUUGAGAGCGGAUUAAAGUCUGUUGGAACACAGCGCCUUAGAGGGUGACAGCCCCGUAAAAUCUAUUCUCAUUGUAAGAUACUUUCGAAGAGUCAAUCGUUUUGGGAAUACGAGUUGUUUGGGAAU